AGUGAACGCUGGCGGUAGGCCUAACACAUGCAAGUCGAACGGCAGCACAGUAAGAGCUUGCUCUUACGGGUGGCGAGUGGCGGACGGGUGAGGAAUACAUCGGAAUCUACUUUUUCGUGGGGGAUAACGUAGGGAAACUUACGCUAAUACCGCAUACGACCUACGGGUGAAAGCAGGGGAUAUUCGGACCUUGCGCGAUUGAAUGAGCCGAUGUCGGAUUAGCUGGUUGGCGGGGUAAAGGCCCACCAAGGCGACGAUCCGUAGCUGGUCUGAGAGGAUGAUCAGCUAAACUGGAACUGAGACACGGUCCAGACUCCUACGGGAGGCAGCAGUGGGGAAUAUUGGACAAUGGGCGCAAGCCUGAUCCAGCCAUACCGCGUGGGUGAAGAAGGCCUUCGGGUUGUAAAGCCCUUUUGUUGGGAAAGAAAAGCAGCAGGUUAAUACCCCGCUGUUCUGACGGUACCCAAAGAAUAAGCACCGGCUAACUUCGUG
rnacentral:rRNA from 1 species